CCUACGGGAGGCAGCAGUGGGGAAUUUUCCGCAAUGGGCGCAAGCCUGACGGAGCAAUACCGCGUGAGGGAGGAAGGCUUUUGGGUCGUAAACCUCUUUUAUUAGGGAAGAAGAACUGACGGUACCUAAUGAAUCAGCAUCGGCUAACUCCGUGCCAGCAGCCGCGGUAAUACGGAGGAUGCAAGCGUUAUCCGGAAUGAUUGGGCGUAAAGCGUCCGCAGGUGGUUAUACAAGUCUGCUGUCAAAGCGUGGAGCUUAACUCCAUACCGGCGGUGGAAACUGUAUGACUAGAGGUCAGUAGGGGUCACGGGAAUUCCCAGUGUAGCGGUGAAAUGCGUAGAUAUUGGGAAGAACACCAGCGGCGAAAGCGCGUGACUGGGCUGAUUCUGACACUCAUGGACGAAAGCUAGGGGAGCGAAAGGGAUUAGAUACCCCAGUAGUC
rnacentral:rRNA from 1 species